UGUUGUUGCUGUGUGACAGAUGGCAGCAGACGGGCAGUCUGAGAAAAUGGUGUCUGACAUGGAAGUGCAUAUGAAGCAAAUGGGUGCAGCUGAAUUCCUCCAUAUGGAAAAAUUUUGCACCCAUUGCCAUUCGUUGAUGCUUGCUGAAUCUUUAUGGAGACCAAACAGUGGACAUGAGCACAGUGAGGUGAUGUGUGGUGAAACACUCUAAAACAGUAGGUCACCUCCACUGGCGCAGAUUUUAACAAGCAACGCAUGCAGGCUCUUGUUCAUUGUUGGUGAAAAUGCACAGCUAAUGGUAAUGGCUAUGCUGAAAAAUAGUGUUUUUGUAGCUGGGAGUUUGCUGUAUCAGAUAGUGUUACCGUGCUUUUUUGUAUCUGUUGUGGUUUUCAAGGAAAUAUAUAGGAGAUAUUACUUUUUGAGUGACCUCAAAAGUAUUAUAAAUAUCUCAUAACAUUUUUCUCUUCUCUUUGGAUGAUCCAUAUUUCAUUGCUGUAAGUCACCACAGUUUUCAACUGCUGGCUCUUGCCCAACUGCUGGCAAUCAGGAAACAACCCGUUCACAUUCUUACAGUUUGGAGAGAUCUCUGAGGAAUGAGACACAGACAUUUUUCCUGCUAGUUUGAUUAGUCAUCUCCAGGGAAGAAAGCCAGCCUUAUUAACAAAGGUAAUUCCAAGAAGAAAACCUACAUCUUUCCAGGGCUAAGAGGGUCCCAGAAUCCUUUUGGAACUUCUGUAGACAAGAAAUUACAGUGCCUGGCUUCACUGAAUACAUCUGAAACAGUUUAAUAGAGAUUUAAAACAGGAUAUUUUAGAACCCUCUCCAUCAGUUUGAAGAGAAACUGAUCCAAUUAAUUCUCAGCUGUUCUUCUACCACUGAAAAUACAGGGAAUAAUCUUAGUUCCACUUCAUUUAUAAUUUAAAUGAUUAUUUGACUGUUUAAAUAAAGCCUUAUUUUAUUUUUGAAAGUGCUUUAUUGUCAAGUUAAUUGACACUUUAGAAUCUGCUGCAAAUCCUGGGGAAAAUGCUAUAAAAUAAAUGGUUUAUUAAAAUUUAAAUAUACCCUAGUUCAUAGAAAAUUCAACCAGACCAUAUAUGUCAGGGGGAGAACUGAAAUCUGAGUAGUUUUUUUGCCUCUCUUCUGGUCUGAACAGCUUAUCCCCACUUCUUGUCUGCACAGUCCUUGCCUGCUAUUAUUUCUACUACAGGAAUAUAAUGCUAUGUAACCUAGGAGUGAGAGAGGAGGUAUUCCAGUUGAUACAGGAGCAACAAGCUUUGUUCUCUGCAUUUUCUUUCUGUCUUUUCCCACUCUUCAGUCUGGAACAAAAUCAGGAAUGCAUGGCUGAGGAGAGGGAAAAAGAAAUUGAAGUUUGUAGUAUUUAGGCUGAAAGUUUCAAUAAGGUUCCAGGAAAUGAAGGGUUUAAGCAAGUGUCAGGGAAGUUAUUAUAGGGAAAAGAAGCAGAAGAAAGGAAAGAGAAAGAGAUGAUGCUGUGGAUUUCCUGUUCACUUGCCCUAAAAUUGAAAAGUGCAAUUCCUGCCAGUCCAAAGAAGCUCUGAUUUACCCCCCCCCCCAUCGCCUCAUCAAGUCUCAUGACAGUUCUUCAAUAAUUCCCAUGGAGUGCCUCCUUUUACAAAUUUAACCUCAUGUCUCAGGUUAUUCUGUUCCAGUAUUGAAAAAUACCAUUGCCUUCCCCCACACCCCACCCCCUUGGUUAUCAAGUUAAUUAGUCAGCAAUAUCUGUCCUACUUAAUUACUAAGAUAGACAUCAUCUGGUUCGAAGCUUCUCUCCCUUAAGGUAUCUAUAUAAAGAAACGUACACUCUUAUACACACUGGAUAUUAAAAGAAAUGUUGAUAAUGAUUGUGUAGUUCUUGUGGUUGACUCCCCAGGAAGCAACUGAGAACUCAGUACAAAGACUGCAGUAUGUGAAUUUUAGUUCCUUUAGUUUUUCUUCACACUGUUGUGUUAGCAGCCCUUCUUUAAAUCUGCCUAUCUUUUCAGUACUUAAAUGCAGUGGGAAGUGCAGGUGCAAGGGAGACAUUAGUGCUGAUUAAGUGACUGACAGGUCAGAGAAGUAGGAAAGACACAGAGAAAAAAGUAUCUCCAGCUUUAAUUUCCCAUUAUUCUUCAGCCAACAGUCAGAAAUGUCUGUUUUUCUGGAUAUUGUACUCUGUGUUGCUCUAGAUUUAAAAAUGGCCUUGCUAUUCUAUGGAGGAAGUACAAACUUUAGGCAGGUACACUAGAAAACAGUGCAGCUGAUGUUUUCUUAAAAAGGUCAAGAUGCACAAAUAUUAGGAUCAUGGUAUUAAUGAUUCCUGGGUACUACCACACUGAAAAUAACAACUUUUGUUUUCUACGUGUCAGCAUCAUCUCAGAAAGAAAACAUCUGCUUUCAGAAUGUUUUGGUUUAUAAGGCUGUAGUAACAACCUAGUGUAACACCAAUAUUUCAAAGCUCACAAUGUAACCCCUGAGAGAUAAUAUAGGCAAGGCAUUGUUCAUUUCCUGUAAUAAUAGAAUCACAGAAUCAUAGAAUGUCUUGGGUUGGAAGGGACCUCAAGGAUCAUCAAGUUCCAACCUCUCUGCCACAGGCAGGGCCGCCAACCUCCACAUCUAAUACUAGACCAGGCUGCCCAGGGCCCCAUCCAACCUGACGUGUAAUGAGUUACAUCAUUUUAUUUCUGAAACCUUUGACAUAAACAGUAUAUACACCUUCCUCUGUUCUUUUGAACCACAAUACUCUUUUUUUUUUUUUCCUGACAUAUGAAAAGAUUUUGCUGCCUUGAAAAACUCAGACUAUUUCAGGUUUACAUACUUCAGCUCAAUAGAGGAAGAAUAAGUAGACUUCAGGAAUAGCCUACUGACAUAAAUUUAAAGAAGUUUUAUGAAGUCUAGAAAACCAGAAAUCCCAUUGUCUCUGAAUAUACAUGACUACUUCCAGGACUUUCAAAUGAACUUGCUGGUUUGGAGAAAGAUCAGUUAUUACAUGGCAGACAAGGCAUACUAUUACAAGGUUCAAUUUUCAAUAAAAUGUUGAGCAAGCAUCAUUUCACAAUCAAGUCUUAUACGGGAACUUGAAAUAAGAUGGCCAAUAAUUAAGUUUUUAUUUGCUUUAGACAACAGAGAAAACUGAUGCACUUUUUUAAAAGCAGUAAUUUAAUCCAGUGAUGUUAUGAUUUUGGUGAGUCCUGCAUGUGGCUCACCAAAACCAUUUGGCUACCUAAUGCAGACUGCAAAUCCCAGACAUUUUAUUGGGACAAAACUUAUUUCUUAUUUACUCCUAAAUUGUUCUGAUAACGAAUACAUGGGUAGUAGGUCAUACGCACUGUCUCAGACAUAAAGCCACCAUUCUCCAGAAUCUCAGAACUGCUGGGAUUGGAAGGGACCCCUGGAGGUCACCUGGUCCAACCACCUAUCCAAGCAGAGUUUUUGCGACUUUCUUUCCCAUGGAGAUUUCACUACUACUUACUCUCUAUACAAUUGCAAUGACAUUCAUGAAUGGUAAACCUAAAGCUACCAAAUGCUGUCAGGCAUACUGUGCAUGUGAUACUGUGCACAGUCAUUCCCCUGGGUGUGGAUGCUUGUUCCAGUCAUGUGGUAGACAAGGAAAACAUAGCAGAGCCUCUGGUACCACUAGAAGGACGUAUUGAUUCUAAUUUCUUCAACUGAUUGGGGUGUGAACUUGGGCUACGUUCAUUAAAUUUAAGAACUGAAGUAAGAUCAGAGUGCCUUGUGGUUUAUUACAAUCUUUUUUUAAGGCAGCUUUGGGCAGUGUGGGGAAUAUGCACUUACAGUAGCCAGAAACAUUGACAAUUAGGUCAAAUCAGUUUAUCAAAGUAGAGUACAUAAUUUUCCUGCUUUCCCUUGAAAUAAGGUAAAAGUCCUCCACCUCUAGUUCUAUCCAGCCAAGACUUUGUUCCACAUCUUCCACAGUUUUCACAUCCCUUGUUAGAGAAACCAAGCCACUUCCUUGUUGUCCAUCUAUUUACCUCAUCUGUCUCACUCUGUCUGGCUAAAUUCCUUGAGGCACACUUGUGCUGCUCUGCAGAGAGAAGAAAUAAGCUUUUAUGUUAAAUAAUACCCCACAAAUAAGUGAAAUUGAGGAAAAAAAAUUAAAAGGAUCCUUAUGAGUAAUUAAAUCAUUGCAAUUUUAAUUUUCAAAUAAAAGAUCCCCUUCUCGGUGUUUUCUUUUAGGGUAAGCACUGGUGAUAAUGAGAAAUUUUAUAACCCUGACAUCUCUUUAAAUCGGAUGGCCAUUUUUAGACCUAUGGAAUCGAGUUCACCAUUCUUCUACAAUGUAUGGAAUUAUUUUUUGCUGUGUAUUCUCAAAUAUUUUCAUUUUUUAAAGUAUUCAGAUAAUGGUGUUCCUACUAGUUCUCCCAGGGAAUCUUUCUUGGAGUAUUUCAGAUACGUAUAUUAUUUAUAUAUCAUUUUUGUUUGAUGAAUUUUUGAUCUAUGUCUGAUUGUACCAAUCUUACUUUUUUUUCUCCAUUUCUUUAGUCAUUUUUUUUUUCAUUGACACUAGUAAUAAAUGAGGAGUAAAUAUGCCAAAAGCUGAAACUAUGAUUGUGGUGAAAUCUCAGCUGUCUGCACAUUUAAAAUAUCUGCAAUUAUAAUUGUAUACCAAGAAACAGGCACUAUGGGGUUAACAGCAAGCAGCUAUUUCCCCAGCUGAGACUCAGUGCCUGACUCACAAGAGCUGGGAUAAAAGGCUGCAGACCAGGCAAAGUAGGGUGAUUGCCGGAGAGGUGAGGAUUUACCUCAAGGAGACUCUUUAGCUACAGUUUAUUGGAGGAAUGUCUUGGGAAUACUCUCAAAAAAUGCCUCAGGUAUGCUGACCGGGAAAAGGCUGAAGAGCAUCAGUCUUUUUAAGGCUUAUGUUGUGAGUCACUGAAGGAUACCUGAUGUGGGUGGCAGGCUAUGAAGCUCAGGCCUUUGCAGUCUGGAUGUCCUUACUAGCUUCUGCAGUAGGCUCAGGGAGAUUGAAUCCUUUGUGUACUGUCUAUGUUCUUCUGGGAAUAAUUGUAAAAUAAAUAAAUAAAUGGUGCUUAAAGAGAGAAAUACCACACAGAAGAUUUCAUGUAACUCUACGUAGGAUGCUGUAUUGCUAGAGAAUACCAAAUGAAUUUAUUUGAGGAAAGUAAAAUAGUCUGUGGGUUUAUGAGCCUGAUAUAGAUAGGAAGGAAUAAGAAGGGACAGAAGAAAAGCAAAGCAUCUACGUAAUGUCAGCAAAGCAGUUGAUAUGGAGACUGACAAAGCUAUUGAGAGGUGGAUCAAGAGUGUUUCACGGAUAAACCAAAAUAGUUUGUAGUGACGGGAAGUUAUUAGUGUUCUGUCAAGUUCAUCUUACUCUUGUCAUUUAAUGGCUGUGGCAGACACAAGAGGGUAUGUGCUGAUGUUGUGAGGGUAAUAGCACUAACAUAAAAGAGCAAGGUAUUAAUAGUACCGAAGGAGCAAACUAGAGUUCUAUGGUUUUUCUCUACAUUCCAAGUGCAAAGCUGUAGGUAAGAGAAUCUGUAUUCAUAAGGUAAUUGGAAGAGGAAGUAAAGUGAGUUCAUCAUCAGGAGCUAGAUGUAGCGAGAGAGUUGAUUGUACGAUAUCUGUGUGUUAUCAUAGGGUGGUUGACAUACACGUUUGGAAAAGGUAUACAAUUGUGGUGAGAUUUUUCCCAGUAAAAAGUGAGGAAAUAUUCCUGCUUUAUAAAAGACAUUAAUUAGACCUCAUCUUGAAUAGUGCCUAUGUUCUUGAUUGCCCAACUUCAAGGCAAAUUAUGUCAGUAAAGAAAGAGAUUACUAGGGUGACCCUGGAAAUGGAAUACAAUCUUUCCAUUUAAAAAAUGGAUGUGUUUAGUCUAGUAAAGUAAGAUUGAAUUGAGAAGGGAUAUGAUUGCUCAUCAGGGAGGUUAAAGAACUAUUUAAGAUGAAGUGUUGACAGAAGAACAAGUGGAUAUAAAGUAGCCUUGAAUAAAUUCAGAUUUGAGUUAAACAGUAGUUGAAACCACCUGAGAAAAGAGCUUUUGAAAGUGAGUUUCUCUAGAAGUAUUAGGAGAAGAAUCCAAUUGAUUUUUAGGAGUUGGACUUGAUGACACUUAUGGGUCCCUUCCAACUUGGGAUAUUCUAUGAUGCUAUGAUUUUAGAAUGAAACUAGUUGGUUUCAAGAAGAGACCAUACCAAUGGAAUACUUAAAAUUUUUUGGCCUUGCUUUCUCUUGAUAACCAGUGUUAGACUGGUUUCCCAUGUUGUGGUUCUGCCGUACUCAAUAAUGAGUGGGGGAUGGGGAGUUAGGGAGAGAUAAUAGUGAUCACCAAUGCAGACCUUGCUUAUCUCCAGCCUGUGAACCUAAGUGUCAAUACGUAGUAGCAGGUUCUGCCUUGGGGGGAGAAUAAUGAAAUUAUUGGUGGUGUUCUGGGCCCUGCCAGUGUGUGCCAUAGUUUUAGUGAUUGACAUACCCACUAGCAAUGUCAUUUUCUAAAAUACUUGUAGUUCUUGAAAUUGUACUCAGGUGAGAACAAGUUCAAAUACACAAUGAUAUAAGGAAUAUACAACCACGUGAAAUCCAAAAUAUGUACACAGCAUGUUGUCACCUCUGUUUUAUUGUAGAAAUAUCAAGUACAUGGCUUCAGCUGACAGAGUACUAGAGAUUCUAAACUGAAAUUUCAGUACUACAAGAAACUGCUUGCUGUUUUCAUUCAUGGAAUGCCAACUAUCUUUCAUAUAGAUGUUGAAGGUAGGGACAUGGAGUUCAAAUAUAAAAAUCCUUCCCUGUUGCAGUCUAUGAUUUGAAUGAUUUUUCUUCUGGACUUCAGUCAAGAGACGUUAUUACUUUCACAUCAUUGAAAACGUUGUGUCAGUUUUGUUUCUGAUACCUAAUACCCUUUAAAAUGACUAAACAUAGUUUCCUGUCUAGCUGGUAAACUUGAACUGCUUGGGACAUUGCUAAGUAAACUGUUAAUCUGUAGUAUGAAAAAAUGCUGUUUACUGCCACAGGAGUUAGCAGCAUGCUUCAACCAAAUUGUACAUGGAACUCCACUUUUCACAUAAACAUAUACAUUUCCAGCUGUUUCUUACAAAAGUAUAUGAAUGAUAUUAGUACAUGCAGGUCACUACGGGCAUUUGGUCAAGAUAGUAAAGCUGUGAUCAACCCUGUAAACCAACCCCAAACCUUGGCUUUGAGGUUUCACGAAAACCAAUUAGUGUUAUGUACAUACUGACAUUUUUUAAAUGAAGUUAUGAAUGGAUGUUAAAGAUUCAUUUGAAUAUGAUAUUUUUUACAUAUAGCUAGGAAUAAAUAUUUAAGAUUUGUUUGAAGAAGGCUUUUCAAUAACUCUGACUGUACAGACAAAGAGCAAGGACCUUUGUUUUCACCAAAGAGAGGAUAAAUCUUGGUCUGUGUUCUGGUUUAAUGCUACUUUCUCUAAUUCCAAAAGUAAACCUUAGCUCUAUUCAAAACUGUGAAGAAAUGUUUUUCUAACCAUCAGCUACAACUGCUAGUGCAAAAAGUAGUUUAGGAAAAGCAGUAUUUUCAGGGCACAGAAAAUCAGAAAUUUAAGAGAAACUGUGAUUUUGUGGUAUUUGUAGUCUGACUUUUAGAAGAAUUCAGCUGGUGAUAUGGUGUGUCAUCCACCCAUCCAUCAGUUAGAAAGUAACUGCUUCUCUCCAGGUAAGCCUGAUUCCACAUUAUAUUUGUUGUUCUUUCAGAUUUAAUUUAUUUGGCUGCUGAUGAACCACCAAAAUGCACUGGUUUACCAUGCUUAUAAGACUUUUGAAAUGAGCACAGCCACAGAGUUUGUAAAUCAAGAAAGCACUUGCCCCUCUUCUCCAUCAUGAUACAUGUAAUUCCUUGUUCCCCAUGUGACAAAUGUCUGACAUUGAUAAUAUGCCUUAUUGUUUCUGGAACACUGUGGAUUCUCAUAGUUCCUAUGCUGAUUGCAACACUCACCACUAGCCAGGGCUGUAUAUAUUAAAGUGCAGCGGCUCUUUUAGGGCAAACAAAGGGAGAAAACUGUGCUACAACCACCUGCUUCCACAUAUUAUGUGGAAAACAAGGGUACAAAUUGUGGUGUAGCACAGCAAUAUCCUACUAGGAUAAGGUGCUUCUGGUAUUGAAAGUUGGGUAGCUGAGGCUGACCCCUCCUAACCCAAUGGUCUCAUGGACUCAGAGGAAGGACUUGUAAAACUACAUCGUAAAACUGUAUGUUAUUCUGAGAUCUUUGGUGCAGUAAAUAUUAAGAUACGUGGCAUUAGUGUUUUUCUUACCUAUUUCUUUCUGCUCGUACCAUGCUCCCUUCUGAACUCACUGGGAUCAUUAACAAUGUAGAUUGAUGCAGGCAGCUUACACCACAAAUGGGAAAUCCUGAUUAAGUUAUCAUGCGAUGCUUCUCUUAAGUAAGGAUUAUCCUCUUGAGCUGUUCUAGAGCAUUUUGUAAUAACGUAGUUUUAAAUAGACAUAGGCCCAAUUGAUAGAAUUCAGAUGAGGAUUCAAAGCUUUUCUUCCCAAAGUUUAUGGUGUUCAUGCAGGUUUUUGUCAGGGUCACAUUAAGACAACCAAGGGCACUAAUCACAUGAGGAGAUGCCUCCCCUUUUAUACAACUGUGCCCUUGUCCCUCCUUGAAAGGACUGAAAAGGAUCAUUACUCUGCAACCAGGGAGAACAACACUGUUUAUUGUAACGGGCAGAUGAAAAGACCUCAGAAAGAGAUGGUGAGCCCAAUUCCCAGUGGAGGUGCCCAAAGCAAUUUCCACCAUUUAAUUUAGAAAGAUGAGUGUUAUAUUUAAACCAUAUAUAACUUCUCACUAUUACACACUCCACAUGACAUUUUGUGUGUUGGCUUUGCUUUAUUUAGAACAUAGUUCAGGCUGUUCUCGUUCAUUAAUUCUAAUAUUUCCCAGCCCAAUUUUCCCUAACUAGUCUAAAAACCUGUAAAGAUAGUUGAAAAUAAAAAUGUAUUCUCACAAGUAAAAUUUUUAUUGUUAACAGAAAAGUGUAUUUCUUCCACAAGCAAUAUUCCUGUGGAAGGAACAAAUUAUGGAGUAUUAACAGAAUAAAGAGGCACACUAAACAGCAUUGUUAAUUACUUAGAUUAGUCAUACUUGUAUAUCUUUGGCAGUAGUUAAUCACAUUAGAUUACCAUUACUGUAAAACUGCUACAGUGUUUGUAAUAUCAUUAUAGAUUUUUAUUUCAGAAGGGAGAUUCAUGUCUUCCAAUGGCCUAAUGCAAAAUAAUUUCUAAUUAAUAAUCCUUUUGGAGUAAUUAUAAUUAGCAGCGUGAAUGUGGGGAAACUAAUAAAUUAGGAAGAAAACUUAAAUUUUGUGCUUGGAUGUGUAUGCUAGAAUGAUUUGCAGUGUUUUCUGCUUACUCUGGUAAUGACAGUAAUUUAAUUAUGACAACUUCAAGAAAUGUUCCCUUUCCAUUCACUGAUUCUGAUUUCCUGUAGCUGUCACUGCUUUACAGAUUUACAAAAGAAAGAAAAGGAGUUGUUUCACCUUCUGCAAUGGAUCCUAAAAUGAAGAGCUAUUUUCAGUUGUCUCAAAAAUUCCUUCACCGGAAUGAUAGCAUGACCAUGAAGAUUUUGUUGUUUUUUUUUUGAGAAACAAACUUCUUACUGAUUCUUAUUGAAAUUGUUCUUGUAGAAAGACAACCGUAUCUAGAAAUUGCAUUUCCAAGUGUAAUGUUUUUGUCAGGGUACAAAAUGUAAAGUGUUACUCAGGUAAAUUCACAUACACAAAUAAAGUCAGUCAUGGAGAUUUGUCUCAGGGAGUGCGCAAGCACUGCUCAAAACUAGUACUCUGCAAACAGAAAUGGAAAGAAUAGUCAAGAUGAGAAUCAUGAGCAAAUCACUUGAUCAUGCUAUGUUUCUGGGAUAAAGUGCUACCUUGUUACUUUACCUAGAGCUAGUGCUUCAAAAUAGUAAAAUUUCGCAUUAUUUCAUAGCAUGUUCUCCUAUAUGCUGAAAUUAUUUUUUUCCGGGGAGUCUAUAAUUCUUGAAUAAUGCUUUGAAAAUUCUCUGGUUUACUGUGAAGAUCAAAAAGGUAAUGAAAGUGGAUAUUGACACUGGCCUAUCAGUUGUCAUCUUUACAGACAAAAUACUAAGAUGUAAAGUUCAAAUGCCAUUGGUGUGUUUGGUCCAGGAGUCAAUAUUCAGUAGCUGAAAAGCAUCUGUGCAAAAAUAUUUGGUUGCCACCCAGGUAGUGUGAUCUGCAUUAAUAGUACAAAAAUAUCCAAACAUACAAUGCUUUCUCAGAAGAAUGCCAGCUGUGAAAUGCACUACUGAGACUCAGCAAACCAGUGACUCCAUCCUUUAAAAGGGCUGAAUUGCUCCUUUGUGACAAUGACUGUUCUCAGCUACCACAUCAGCUGAAUUUAGCUGACUUUUUUUUCGCAAAGAUGCCGUCUGAAUGCUUCUUGAUUCAGGAUGGCAAAAGAUGUAGGAGAGAGCAAGGAGAAGCCAGGGGUGCUCAAUGUGAUUAGGUUUGUCAUCCUGCUCCCGAGGCUGCAAGCUCAUUUGGCCCGGUAGGCUGCCUCAGAGUAGCUCAGUGUGACACCUAGAUGCCCAUCUUCAAGGACUCCUUCAGAAUGCUGCUAAGUCAUCUUAAAAGGGUCAGAGUAGUUUCCAGGAUUCCUGAGUUUAAAGAUCAUUGGCAUUUUUAUAGUGUAUUUGAGAAUUCCUAAUGCAUUUUACUUCCCAACUGCUGAAAUGUUCUCUGUUGUUAUCAGUGAACUUCAAAAAUAUGUCUUCUGUUUAGUUUCAUUGAUUUUAAAACACUAUUUCUUUUCACCAUGGCUAUUCUAUUAAAGUGUAUUAUUUCUGCUGAGAUAUCAGUUCUGAUUAGACAUGACUUCCUAGCCAGGGUCUAUGAAAAAUCCGUCUUGAUUUCCACUGAGGCUGUGAUCAGAUGUUGUUCUAUCCUACUACCUUAUAGAGUGUCUUUUUGUACAUAUCAGAGGCUUCUAAAUCCCACAUAACAUGGUUUUCAGGUAUGUCUUCUCAGUAAAUGUGGAAAUAGCUUGAGCCUAAAGUGCGUUCACUUCAGUCAUCUCAUUAUAUUUCCAGACCAGCAUUCAAAUAGGAAACCAUUAAUAGUGAAUUGACAAAAUAUUAUUAAUGUCUUCUUUCCUCCACAACACUCAUCUAGCUACUCUGUCUCUGACGCUAGGCCAUCAAACCCUUUAUUAAUCCCUGGAGAUCCCUUUGUUAAGUAAGAAUAACGUCUUCUGCUUUCUUGCUACCUGCACCUCCCACUGGCUCAUCGAAGGAAUUGGGAGGGAUGAGUGUACUGCAAGGAGAAAAUAAGAGAAAUUGUGGCUGGAAAGUGGGGAGGAGAUCUAUUUGGUUGUAAUGGAGACUUUUUUGCCUGAGACAAAAACAAACCAUUAGUCCUAUUGGGAAGGAAGAAAAGUCUCCAUUCUUUUUGCACUAGUUUUAUUUUCAUUCAUCUCCAAAGCUUUUGACCAGUAAAAAGGACUCUGCAAGAGCAAAAUCAAAAUUCCACUGUUACCAAGGAAUCCCAUCAGAAAUAUUGGCAUCUCUGUUCCAAGGUGACAUGUUGGGAAACUCCCCCACGCUUCCCACAGGGUUGCCCUCCAAAGCGCGCGGAAGCCUGACACUCAAUGUGAGGUUAUGCAGCUUCAACUUUAUUGUAACAACACACCAUCUUAUAUAGCGUAUAUGCUUCCAGGGAUACAGGGUCCAGGGAUACAAGCUGUAUGCAACGCGCACGCUAACAAUAUCGUUGCCCGAGUAAUCUCCAUAUAUGGGAUAUGUUGUUAACUACAACACUAUGGAUACAGAAUACUAUGAAUAUGCUGAAAUAUACUAGAACACACUGGAAACACCACAUUCCACGUAUCUAGGGAUUACAUCAUUACAUCAUAAAUCAUUAGUAAAUCAGUAGCUACGUGCUGCUGAGCAACCUGCCCUCCAACAGUGACACACUUCAGUCAAGGAAUCUAGCUCAUGGAACAGAAGAUGGUCAUGAGGAUCAUGUCCAGAUCUGAAAAAUUACUUGAGAUCCAGUGGCAUACACUAAGCAGCACAGGGGCAUCUCAGAGCAGAGUGUUUUCCACUUCAGGAUAUUCCUAUGUGAGAACUUUCAUCACUCUUAAAGGGAACAGAGUUAUCUGGCUUUUCUGCUAUAGCUUUUCCAGCUCUCAAACUUCAAGUGUUUUGGUAGUAGUAUAAUCUAAAAAUGAAAUGUCUGAGUAGAUAUUUCUGUAGGCUCUUUGCAAUAUUUUAUACCUCAGAUACAUCAUAAUGUACUGUACCAUAUCCCAUAAUAUUUCAUAGCUAUUCAAUAACUGCAAAAUUAACUUCAUGACUUAAAGCCCCUCUGGUCUCAUCAAACAUACGUAUUUCCAAACCAUAAAAAUACUUCACAAGUGAAGUGUACAUUGUAAUUUGAGGCCUACUAAUUGAAAUCUGGUUGCUAUAAAUAAAUCCGCAAUUAGAAUUGUUUUUGCUACUCUCAGAAGAUUUGGUAAUAGAUCCAUGUAUUUUUAGAAGCAAGGUAUAUUCAAAUGUGUUUUAGACUUCUGCUACAAAGCACAAGCACUCCUCACAUGACUGUGCACCUUCUGCAAUGUCAGCUUUCUUAUUCUCAACAACUUUAACAUAUUGCCGUGAAAUAGAUACUUAUAAACAGCUCUUUAAAAAUCUGACUUCAAUUUCUUCUAGGUUUUUCUUUCUCAAUUCUUCUUGAAAGACCAAUUUCAAACCUGGUAAUCCAGUUCUGUACUUUCCUAAUGCACCCAAGGGACAACAUGAAAAUAUAAGUAGAAUGCAUUUAAAAUGAUGCCUAACCAACCAAAGGAACUUAUUGCUGUUGGAUGCUACUAGGAUGAGAAACUCAGUAUGAUUUCUAAAAUGCAUUAGCUACUUAUUUGACUAAACAAGUUACUCAAGUUCUCUCUGAGAAGACAGCACAGAUGAUGUAACAGCAUGGGGUGGGUACAUUUGGCUGGUUGGUGGGCUGGAGUUUUGGGGGUACUUUUUUGCAUAGAAGCAUCAUUGCCAUUUUAUACAGAAGUCAGGGCUGAAAAUUUUAUUUAUCUGAAUAAAUAAAACUGGUUGAAAAACAGUUGUAGCAAUAAGAGAUGGAACAAUAUGAAAUUAGCUUAUAUUUAACAUUUACCAAUAAAACCUAAAGAUAUCAAAUUUAUGGACAUGUGGAGGUGACCACAGUAGAGCAGGUAUUUCCCUGUAGCCAGGGGACCAUGACAGAGCUGACACCGCAUAGUAGCCCGUGGAGGAUCCCAAGCCAGAGCAGUGGAUGUGCUGUGAAGGAGCUACGGCCUGUGGAGAAUCCAUACUGAAGCAGACUUAUCCUGAAGGACUGCAGCCCAUGAUGAGUACCCACAGAGGAGCAGGCAAAAAGCAUGAGGAGGAAGGAACAGCAGAGAAGAGCUGUUAUGGACUGACCGUGACUCCCAUUCACUAUCUUCUUUUGUUGCUUGGUAGGAGAAAGAGCAGUCUGGAGUGAAGGACUGAAGAUGAUCUCAGGAAAGGGAGAAUAAAAUAUGUUGUUUUAAUUUGUCUUUCUUUCUCAUCAUCCAACUGUAUUUUAAUUGGCAAUAAAUUAUUUUUUUUAAGUUGAA